rnacentral:rRNA from 1 species
AUGGAUUCGCCUCCGCCGCAACGCGGCCGCCAUUCGCCGCCGGCGCUGCCCGACGACGACGGCAUGCUCUGCAUCUUUCUCCGCAUCCCGCCGGACGACCCCGCGCGCCUCGUCUGCAAGGGCUGGCGCCGCACCCUAGCCGACCCUCAGUUCUGCCGCCUCUACCGCGAGUUCAACGGCGCACCACCCGUGCUCGGCCCCGACCGCUACCCUUGCAGCUGGAAGGCGGUCGACUCCCGCCACGGACGCAUCCUCUUAGAGGAUAUGGGUUCAGGAGGAUUCGUCGUCUGGGACCCCAUCACCAACGGCCAUUGGGGAAUGAAAUUCCCCAGUGUGAAUCGCCAACGCUGGACUGGCGCAGUGCUUUGUGCCAAGGAGGGCUGCGACCACCUGGGCUGCCAUGGACCGUCUUUCCUCGUCGCCUUCGUGAGUUGCAUAUAUCAGAAUAAUACCGUGACCACGUCCGCUUGUGUCUACUCAUCCGAGUUUGGUGUGUGGAGCCGCAUGAUCUCCGUGGAGCACCCGAAGCGCGUCAAUAACACCGUGCGUAGCAUCCUUGUGGGAAGUACACUCUACUUUCCCUUUGACAGAAGUUUCAGCGUUCUGGAGUACAAGUUGGGCGAGCAGAAACUGUCUAUCAUCAAUGGUCCGUCCGUGGACCGAAGGCAACGCCAUGUGCUCAUAUCGGCCGAGGACGGUGUGCUCAUGUUUGCGGGCAUGCGAGGGUCUAAGCUCUACCUGUGGUCAACUGUGGUCGGUCCUGACGGAUCUUCGGCAUGGGCGCAGCACAGGGUCAUCGAGCUCGAAAAGCUGCUACCCCCUAUUGCUUUCACGCCCAAACCCCAUUCGGGUGUGCCCCAUGAGUCUGGACCCAAUGUGUCUGGCUUCGCAGAUGGUAUCAUCUUCUUGAGUACAAUGGCUGGAUUAUUUACUGUUGAGCUCAAUUCAGGCCGAACCAAGAAGGGAAUUCUUUACAACGCACUGGGGUCAGGCUGCCACUGCCAUGACAUGGAUCAUCCAUCCAUCAACAUGAACCUGCUGCUGUUUUCCAAUGAUGAAUUCUGGAGCUUCCUGAAUAUUGGCUAA